rnacentral:rRNA from 1 species
UGGGGAAUUUUGGGCAAUGGGGGAAACCCUGACCCAGCAACGCCGCGUGAAGGAUGAAGUAUUUCGGUAUGUAAACUUCGAAAGAAUAGGAAGAAUAAAUGACGGUACUAUUUGUAAGGUCCGGCUAACUACGUGCCAGCAGCCGCGGUAAUACGUAGGGACCAAGCGUUGUUCGGAUUUACUGGGCGUAAAGGGCGCGUAGGCGGUUUGUCAAGUCAGUUGUGAAAUCUCCGAGCUUAACUCGGAACGGUCAACUGAUACUGUCAAACUAGAGUACAGAAGGGGCAAUCGGAAUUCUUGGUGUAGCGGUGAAAUGCGUAGAUAUCAAGAGGAACACCUGAGGCGAAGGCGGGUUGCUGGGCUGAUACUGACGCUGAAGCGCGAAAGCUAGGGUAGCAAACGGGAUUAGAUACCCCCGUAGUCCCUGAGCGGGCUGGCAAGGCGCAU